UAGGGAAUAUUGGACAAUGGGCGAAAGCCUGAUCCAGCAAUGCCGCGUGAGUGAUGAAGGCCUUAGGGUUGUAAAGCUCUUUUACCAGGGAUGAUAAUGACAGUACCUGGAGAAUAAGCUCCGGCUAACUCCGUGCCAGCAGCCGCGGUAAUACGGAGGAGGCAAGCGUUAUCCGGAAUUAUUGGGCGUAAAGCGUCCGUAGGUGGUUGUUCAAGUCUGCUGUCAAAGCGUGGGGCUCAACUCCAUAGAGGCAGUGGAAACUGUGUAACUAGAGUGCGGUAGGGGUCGAGGGAAUUCCCAGUGUAGCGGUGAAAUGCGUAGAUAUUGGGAAGAACACCAGUGGCGAAAGCGCUCGACUGGGCCUGCACUGACACUGAGGGACGAAAGCUAGGGGAGCGAAAGGGAUUAGAUACCCCCGUAGUCC
rnacentral:rRNA from 1 species